UACAGAGGGUGCAAGCGUUUGUUCGGAAUUACUGGGCGUAAAGCGUGCGUAGUCGGUAUUGAGAGUCACGGGUGAAAUCCCAAGGCUUAACCUUGGAACUGCCUGUGAGACCUCAGUACUAGAGUGUGAGAGGGGAUAGUGGAAUACCCAGUGUAGCGGUGAAAUGCGUAGAGAUUGGGUGGAAACACCGGGUGGCGAAGGCAAUCCCCUGGGCCUGCACUGACGCUCGAUGACACGAAAGCGUGGGGAGCAAACAGG
rnacentral:rRNA from 1 species